rnacentral:rRNA from 1 species
CGCUGAGUUUGAUCCUGGCUCAGGAUGAACGCUAGCGGCAGGCUUAACACAUGCAAGUCGAGGGGUAUAGUUCUUCGGAGCUAGAGACCGGCGCACGGGUGCGUAACGCGUAUGCAAUCUACCUUUCACAGAGGGAUAGCCCAGAGAAAUUUGGAUUAAUACCUCAUAGUAUAACGACUCGGCAUCGAGAUGUUAUUAAAGUCACAACGGUGAAAGAUGAGCAUGCGUCCCAUUAGCUUGUUGGUAAGGUAACGGCUUACCAAGGCUACGAUGGGUAGGGGUCCUGAGAGGGAGAUCCCCCGACACUGGUACUGAGACACGGACCAGACUCCUACGGGAGCAGCAGUGAGGAAUAUUGGACAAUGGGGCGCAAGCCCUGAUCCCAGCCAUGCCGCGUGCAGGAUGACGGUCCUAUGGAUUGUAAACUGCUUUUGUACA